rnacentral:lncRNA from 1 species
ACACAUCACGCACUCAUUCACACAGUCACACCAAUCUUAGCCACUCAAAACUCAAAAGUCAAAACACAAGAGUUCUCAUCUCUCGUCUCUCUCAACUCUCAAGUCCAGUACUUCAGUUCUCAUCUCUCAUCUCUCUCUCAAGUCUCAACUCUCAAGAGUCAAGAAGACAAAAAUAGAAUAGUGACACACACACACGGUUGGACACAUGCACACAUUGGAGAAGAAACUCAAGAAAGUGGUUGUGGCACCACCAAAUGCAGCAAACCCAUUCUACCCGCAAUCACCACCGCCGACGCCAACUGGAUCUGUUGCUUCUACCUACAAAUCUGUUGCUACUGCCUACAGAUCUACUGCUCCAUGCCUCCCUAUCACCAAGUUCCUCUGGACCCGGAAAGUGGCAACCCGAACCCGAAUUUCCCUUUAGAAAUUUGCAGCUUCCAAUUCAAUGGUAUAUAUGUAUAUAUAUAUAGUUUAUUAGUUGUAAACUUGUAAUGUGUCUAACUGUAUUUGGUAAUAUAUUAUAUAUUAAAUUGGUAAUUACUUCAUUAGUUAAUAAUAUGUGUAAUAUGCAUUGUUAAAUUAGUAAUUUUUGGAUCCGAACCUUAUAUUAUCCAAACCCAAGCCAAACGGAAUUUAACCCGAGAUUUUGACUCAAUCCGAUCUGAACUAAAUUCGGAUCGGGUUAAGAGUUCGAAUUAAGUUUGGAUGAAAUUUUCAACAAUCUGAUCAACCCAAAAUCCGAUCGGGUUGACCCGAACCCAAUCCGAACCCAAAAAUGCCCAGCCCUAACUGGCGCGUGUUACUUACCGCCACUACAUUCAACUUGCCAAUCAACGAUCAACAUCUGCAUCAUCGUCGAGAUCAAAAAAAUGGUUGUAUGUUGUUCAAAUUCGAUUAAAAAAUUUUAGAAACUUUUUAACUUCCACAUAUUCGAUUGAUCGGUGGCGAUUUGGUAGUUGUUGGUGGCUAUGUAUGGUCGGAAAUGGAAGUGGCAGUGAUGGAUGAGAAAUGAUGGCUGGCUCCUGAGGUUCCGAUCAAUACCUUCCAUUGUCGGUGAUGCGGCGAGAAUCAGAAAAGGCUACCGGAUCGGGUUCUCAGGUUCGGGUUGACCCCUUUCUCUCUUGUGACUGGACUCUCUCUAACAUUUACUGUUUAAUUUUUAAAUUAUGUUCAUGAUAAAUAUUGAAAACUUAACACUUAUUAAGGUUAAAAUUGUCUAAAUAAAAAAUUAGAGAUUUCUUUAU